UCUGGGGUUGUUUUGUCUUGUUUUGAGAAGUUUGGGUUAAUCCCCCAAAGAGCGCCACCCCUUUCUCUUUUUUCCCGCACGUUAUGGCGGGAAAUUUAAGGAGACCGCCGGUGACAAACCGGGGGAAAGUGGGGGAGAAGUCAAGUUAUCAUGGCCCUUACGGCCAGGGGUACCCAAGUAGUUCAAUGGUAGGGACAAAGGGGAGCAAGCCGGGGACGGUCAACCAAUCCCAGAAACCCUAUUUCAGUUCGGGUUGGGGUUUGCCAAUUGAAUCCCAGGAGUUGGAAUCGGUAGUAAUUGCAGAUCAGCAAUGCUGCGGUGAAUACGUUCCCGGGCCUUGUACACACCGCCCGUCACACCAUGGGAGUUUGUGCACACAAGAAAGCAGGUAGCUUAACCUUCGGGAGGGCGCUGA
rnacentral:rRNA from 1 species